UGUGCACAAUACUGCACUUACACAACUCUUGAGCAAGUGUCAAGAGACAUCAUGAAACAAACAGGAAUUCCAUGAUUAUGGAGAAGGAAUGUUGCAUCAGGACCAUGGACGCACUAAUCCAGGAAAUUCCUCUCACAGAAGUCGUCACGGAUGCCCACCUAAAUCUCUGCCUUGCUUAGUAAGGUUACGACGGGCUGGCACCAUAAAAAAAUCAGAAUCCAAUGCUAGACUGGAUGAAGGCCAGAAUUGGCAUUGCUGCAAACAAGCUUUGACCAAGGAGCAGUUCAAGAUGAUGUGGCAUGGAGCCCUACACCAUGUCCGCAACCAACAUUCAUGAGCAACUGGAUACUGUGAACAUGAGCCUCUGGAUGACGGCAGCCAAAACAAGCCAUGGAUCCAGCAAGGUUCAGCAACUCACCAGGCACUUAUAGCAAUCGUGCUUGACAAGCGCUGGUUGAGACAGGUGAAGAAGUUCAUCAACUUCAGGACCACGUCUGAUUUGGAAAGCUUCCAAAAUCAUAUACUCUGCAAAGCACUUUGCCUACAGCCCACCUGUAUACAGGACGCAAACUUUGCUUGCUGCAUUGGAUUACAAUAACCACAAUCAUCGCCUGCCAGCCCGUAACAAGGAUGGACACAAAAACACUAAAAUAUAGAAGAUACCAAAAGCUGAAGUGUCUACACACUACAAAGGAGAAGAUGCAGUAUAGCUACAUAUAAGACCUCCAGAAUUCCAUUCUUGGGAGAAGAAUUGCAAGUGGGAGAGGCCUUGGGUUUGCUUGCUGCUGUACUGCCACCACCCACUGCAGAACGUGU